rnacentral:rRNA from 1 species
GGAAAGACCCCGUGAACCUUUACUAUAGCUUGACACUGAACAUUGAGCCUUGAUGUGUAGGAUAGGUGGGAGGCUUUGAAGUGUGGACGCCAGUCUGCAUGGAGCCGACCUUGAAAUACCACCCUUUAAUGUUUGAUGUUCUAACGUUGGCCCGUUAUCCGGGUUGCGGACAGUGUCUGGUGGGUAGUUUGACUGGGGCGGUCUCCUCCUAAAGAGUAACGGAGGAGCACGAAGGUUGGCUAAUCCUGGUCGGACAUCAGGAGGUUAGUGCAAUGGCAUAAGCCAGCUUGACUGCGAGCGUGACGGCGCGAGCAGGUGCGAAAGCAGGUCAUAGUGAUCCGGUGGUUCUGAAUGGAAGGGCCAUCGCUCAACGGAUAAAAGGUACUCCGGGGAUAACAGGCUGAUACCGCCCAAGAGUUCAUAUCGACGGCGGUGUUUGGCACCUCGAUGUCGGCUCAUCACAUCCUGGGGCUGAAGUAGGUCCCAAGGGUAUGGCUGUUCGCCAUUUAAAGUGGUACGCGAGCUGGGUUUAGAACGUCGUGAGACAGUUCGGUCCCUAUCUGCCGUGGGCGCUGGAGAACUGAGGGGGGCUGCUCCUAGUACGAGAGGACCGGAGUGGACGCAUCACUGGUGUUCGGGUUGUCAUGCCAAUGGCACUGCCCGGUAGCUAAAUGCGGAAGAGAUAAGUGCUGAAAGCAUCUAAGCACGAAACUUGCCCCGAGAUGAGUUCUCCCUGACUCCUUGAGAGUCCUGAAGGAACGUUGAAGACGACGACGUUGAUAGGCCGGGUGUGUAAGCGCAGCGAUGCGUUGAGCUAACCGGUACUAAUGAACCGUGAGGCUUAACCUUACAACGCCGAAGAUGUUUUG